UGGGGAAUAUUGCACAAUGGGCGAAAGCCUGAUGCAGCAACGCCGCGUGAGUGAUGAAGGCCUUCGGGUUGUAAAGCUCUGUCUUUUGGGACGAUAAUGACGGUACCAAAGGAGGAAGCCACGGCUAACUACGUGCCAGCAGCCGCGGUAAUACGUAGGUGGCAAGCGUUGUCCGGAUUUACUGGGCGUAAAGGAUGCGUAGGCGGAUUUUUAAGUGAGAUGUGAAAACCCUAGCUUAACUUGGGGACUGCAUUUCAUACUGGAAAUCUAGAGUGCGGGAGAGGAGAAUGGAAUUCCUAGUGUAGCGGUGAAAUGCGUAGAGAUUAGGAAGAACACCAGUGGCGAAGGCGAUUCUCUGGACCGUAACUGACGCUGAGGCAUGAAAGCGUGGGUAGCAAACAGGAUUAGAUACCCUGGUAGUCCACGCCGUAAACGAUGAGUACUAGGUGUAGGAGGUAUCGACCCCUUCUGUGCCGCAGUUAACACAAUAAGUACUCCGCCUGGGAAGUACGAUCGCAAGAUU
rnacentral:rRNA from 1 species